AGUGAACGCUGGCGGUAGGCCUAACACAUGCAAGUCGAACGGCAGCACAGGAGAGCUUGCUCCCUGGGUGGCGAGUGGCGGACGGGUGAGGAAUACAUCGGAAUCUACUCUGUCGUGGGGGAUAACGUAGGGAAACUUACGCUAAUACCGCAUACGACCUACGGGUGAAAGCAGGGGAUCUUCGGACCUUGCGCGAUUGAAUGAGCCGAUGUCGGAUUAGCUAGUUGGCGGGGGAAAGGCCCACCAAGGCGACGAUCCGUAGCUGGUCUGGGAGGAGGAGCAGCCACACUGGAACUGAGACACGGUCCAGACCCCUACGGGAGGCAGCAGUGGGGAGUAUUGGACAAUGGGCGCAAGCCUGAUCCAGCCAUACCGCGGGGGUGAAGAAGGCCUUCGGGUUGUAAAGCCAUUUUGUUGGGAAAGAAAUCCAGCUGGCUAAUACCCGGUUGGGAUGACGGUACCCAAAGAAUAAGCACCGGCUAACUUCGUGCCAGCAGCCGCCGCCG
rnacentral:rRNA from 1 species